UACGUAGGGUGCAAGCGUUGUCCGGAAUUAUUGGGCGUAAAGAGCUCGUAGGCGGUCUGUCGCGUCUGCUGUGAAAACUCGGGGCUUAACCCCGGGCCUGCAGUGGGUACGGGCAGACUAGAGUGCGGUAGGGGAGACUGGAAUUCCUGGUGUAGGCGGUGAAAUGCGCAGAUAUCAGGAGGAACACCGGUGGCGAAGGCGGGGUCUCUGGGCCGUAACUGACGCUGGAGGAGCGAAAGCAUGGGGAGCGAACAGG
rnacentral:rRNA from 1 species